ensembl:lncRNA
AUAGUCUUGAUCGUUUCGUUUGUGCUGGUUUGUGCCGGUAAAAGUUUCGUUUGUGCUGCUUUGGGUUUUAAAAUAUUCGACAUUGAAUUAUAGAAGAUGACGUCACCAGCCCCCACAUGCUCCAAAUUCUCGUUCGUUUGUGCUCCUUUUGUGCACAACUAACUGAAUGGGAAAUACACUGAAUGAGAGAGAAUUAUAGACGGUGCACCAGCCCACUUUUUUUUAACAGUAGGCUAGUUAAAAAAGUAACAAGGUAAGACCUAAAGAAUCGGCAAACCAAAUGACAAUAUUCACUUAUAGGUUACUGUUAUGCUGUGCGUUUUCAACUUUUAACGAACACUGAUGCGGAUCACAGGAUGUGUGGAUGAAACAUAAACUUCAAGGUGGUCAUAAAUCUCCCAGACACAUGGAGACCUCCUGCAAUAGGCCACAUAAUGUCCAAGAGCAUCCUGGGUUAAGCCUCCUCUAAAAGCAAUGACUGCCCGUAAAGUAAAUCUCUUUCCCUGGAGCAUCAGAUUGGAGGGAAAUUCACUCAAAGGAAAUUCUGUGGAGUUGCUUCCCAGAGGGACACUGUGACAGACUUUGGAUCGGCCUGAGGCAGGGGGACUCGGGAAGGUCAAGGCCUUCUUCCACCGCGGUCUGAAGAUGAGCCAUGCCAGAAGCCUGCAGUACAGCAACAGAAA